GCCAGUAUGGUGUAGCGGUUUGAGUGUUGGACUAGGACUCUAGAGACCAGGGUUCGAGUGCCUAUUCAGCCA